GACGAACGCUGGCGGCGUGCUUAACACAUGCAAGUCGAACGGAAAGGCCCUGCUUUUGUGGGGUGCUCGAGUGGCGAACGGGUGAGUAACACGUGAGUAACCUGCCCUUGACUUUGGGAUAACUUCAGGAAACUGGGGCUAAUACCGGAUAGGAGCUCCUGCUGCAUGGUGGGGGUUGGAAAGUUUCGGCGGUUGGGGAUGGACUCGCGGCUUAUCAGCUUGUUGGUGGGGUAGUGGCUUACCCAGGCUUUGACGGGUAGCCGGCCUGUGAGGGUGACCGGCCACAUUGGGACUGAGAUACGGCCCAGACUCCUACGGGAGGCAGCAGUGGGGAAUAUUGCACAAUGGGCGGAAGCCUGAUGCAGCAACGCCGCGUGCGGGAUGACGGCCUUCGGGUUGUAAACCGCUUUCGCCUGUGACGAGGCGUGAGUGACGGUAAUGGGUAAAGAAGCACCGGCUAACUACGUG
rnacentral:rRNA from 1 species